GAUGAACGCUGGCGGCGUGCCUAAUACAUGCAAGUCGAGCGGUAAGGCUUCUUCGGAAGUACACGAGCGGCGGACGGCUGAGUAAUGCAUAGGAACGUACCCCAAACUGAGGGAUAAGCCACCGAAAGGUGGUCUAAUACCGCAUGUGCUCUUCGGAGUAAAGCUACGGCGGUUUGGGAGCGGCCUAUGUUCGAAUAGCUUGUUGGUGAGGUAAUGGCUCACCAAGGCGACGAUCGAUAGCGGGUCUGAGAGGAUGAUCCGCCAGACUGGAACUGAGACACGGUCCAGACUCCUACGGGAGGCAGCAGUAGGGAAUUUUCCACAAUGGGGGCAACCCUGAUGGAGCGACGCCGCGUGCAGGAUGAAGGCCUUCGGGUUGUAAACUGCUUUUCUCUGUGAUGAUUAUGACAGUAGCAGAGGAAUAAGGAUCGGCUAACUCCGUGCCAGCAGCCGCGGUAA
rnacentral:rRNA from 1 species